UGCUAAGAGUGAAAAUUCGUAAUGGCUGCUUCAAAGGUUCUUGCUAUGCUCUUCCUUAUCGUGACCGCUAUGAUUCUAACUGAGUGCACGGCGGCAACACUAGGGAGCGCUUCUUCAGGAGCUGGUAGCGCAAGCGGAGGCGCAGGGGCGUCAGCCGCUGCUGCGCCCGCUGCUCCAGCUGCUGCGGCCGCUCCUGCAGCUGCUGGCGCUGCUCCCGCUGCUCCAGCUGCUGCCGCUGCUCCCGCUGCCGCCUCUGCAUAGUGGAACCUUAACCAAGCGAGCCGUUUUCGUGCGCCUUUGAGCUUCAUGGAAAGCCUGAAGACCACCAAUGAGGGUACAAGUGCCAAGCU